AGUGAACGCUGGCGGUAGGCCUAACACAUGCAAGUCGAACGGCAGCACAGUAAGAGCUUGCUCUUACGGGUGGCGAGUGGCGGACGGGUGAGGAAUACAUCGGAAUCUACUUUUUCGUGGGGGAUAACGUAGGGAAACUUACGCUAAUACCGCAUACGACCUACGGGUGAAAGCAGGGGAUCUUCGGACCUUGCGCGAUUGAAUGAGCCGAUGUCGGAUUAGCUAGUUGGCGGGGUAAAGGCCCACCAAGGCGACGAUCCGUAGCUGGUCUGAGAGGAUGAUCGGCCACACUGGAACUGAGACACGGUCCAGACUCCUACGGGAGGGAGCAGUGGGGAAUAUUGGACAAUGGGCGCAAGCCUGAUCCAGCCAUACCGCGUGGGUGAAGAAGGCCUUCGGGUUGUAAAGCCGUUUUGUUGGGAAAGAAAAGCAGCAGGUUAAUACCCCGCUGUUCCGACGGUACCCAAAGAAUAAGCACCGGCUAACUUCGUG
rnacentral:rRNA from 1 species